UACGGAGACUGCAAGCGUUAUUCGGAUUCACUGGGCGUAAAGGGUGCGCAGGCGGCCAGGUGUGUUAGGCGUGAAAGCCCGGGGCUUAACCCCGGAAUUGCACCUAAAACUACUUGGCUAGAGCAUUGGAGAGGGUAGCGGAAUUCACGGUGUAGCAGUGAAAUGCGUAGAUAUCGUGAGGAACACCAGAGGCGAAGGCGGCUACCUGGACAAUUGCUGACGCUCAGGCACGAAAGCGUGGGGAGCAAACAGG
rnacentral:rRNA from 1 species